rnacentral:lncRNA from 1 species
ACAUUUUGGUUUUAAAAACCACACUCUUCUUCCUCAUCAAGGUUUCUGUAACUUCGAGAGCUCAACUAUGGUGUAUCCUAAUACUUGCUCAGGGAUCUCCGAAUACGGAAAAAGGAAAAAAAAUCUAAAAAUUACACUUCGUCAAGAAAGUUGAGGGGUAACCCUGGCUAUCCCUAGUCAUCAUAUAGAUCCGCCCCUAGUCUCUACCACAUAAGAAUUUGCCUAUUAACUAAAUAUCCAUUUUUAAUGUGUUCAGGAUUAACUAACACACAAUACCAAUAACUAAAACAAAAUUUUUAAAAAAUAAUAAUUAAUAAAUAAAGCAAGAUAUGUGAUUGGUUUUGAUUGGGGUGAGCCCCACCAUCAUUACAUUUUUCUUCCCAUUAACAUCAACAUCGCUAACCCAUUAACCAAAUCCCCAUUAACGGACCCUAUUAACUCGACGAAAUGGUGUUACUUUCGUUAAAGGCCGAGGUGGCAUGUUAACAGCUAAGUCCUUUAACGAACAACACAUACUCUAAUGAAAAAAGAAACAAGGUUCCUUUGUGAUCAUCACUUACUUUAUAAGGGUAUACGAUUCUCAUGUCCCAAAUUCUUUUAACAACAAAAAUUCUUGUUGGCUUCUUCUUUCACAAAUUAGAACCCACGUACAUGUUUUACUUUUCUUAAGCUUCACUAUGAACAUUGAGUUUAUACUUGCAGGGACAAAAAUGUCAAUUGCAUUUUUACAUACACGAAGAAAGGAAUCUGAAUCUAUAUCUAUGUAUACUUUCU